CCGCGCCUCGGGGCUCCGAAUGCAGUCCCGGCACGUUGUCGCACCUGUGACUUGCCCUUGGCCAGACAGGCACUGUCCCUCGCCGGACGAAGAAACUGAGGCACAGAGAAUGAAGCAACAGUUAAACCAGUGAAGAACCCCACAAACUUCGAGUCUGGCUACCCUGGUGGCGCAGUGGUUGAGAGUCCGCCUGCCGAUGCGGGGGACACGGGUUCGUGCCCCGGUCCGGGAGGAUCCCAC